UGUCAUACAAUUAAGGCACGCGGUGAAUGCCAAGAGCGGAUCCUGCAGGCAGCAGGAAAGAUCUUGCUAAGAAGGUGACGUAGGAAUAACGUGAAUAAUAAAAUUAAUAGCGACCAGUUAAAGAUAAUAACAAUAAAAAGCAGAGACAAAGCGAUAAGGAGCUCGGCAGCCUUGCACUCGCCGGUGGAAAGCAGGACUUAAGAGCAGCGGCGGAUGGAACGGCACAUCCCGAGCGAGAGGAGAUGGGGCAGCUGCCAGCAGCAGGUAACAGGGCCGUGAAGGUGGGGGGAGAGACCGGAGCGGUGUGGUAGCCGUGGUGGCUUCUCACGGUAGUGGGGGGUUCUUUCUUUCAUUUUCCUGGGCUAAAUCAUGUAAAUUAACGGGAAAUAAAUACGUUUUCCUUCUGCUGCCGUCGCGAGGGUUGUUUUUUGCGCAUCGUGGUGAAGGAGAGCGCUCGGUAACAGCUCCUCCUCUUGCGCGGCUCGGCUGGAAGCCGAGGAAUGCAGGCGCGGCGUGGUGUGCAGGGGACAGUGAAGGAGACAGCGGAGUGAUGCACAGGGACGGCGGACGGGUGAGCAGGAGACAGCGAAGGGGACUGCAGAGCGGUGCGCAGGGAGCGGCAGAGAAAUGCGGAAGGUACAGCGGAGCAGUGCGCAGGGGACGGUGGAUGGGAUAGUGAAGUGAUGCACAAGGGAGCAGAGCGUUGCGCGGGGAGCAGCGGACAAUGGAACGCUGUGCAGGGGCUGGCGAAGCACUGUGCAGGGGACGAAGGAUGCGACAGUGGAGCGAUGUGCAGAUGUCAGGGACAAGAAGCAGGGGACUGCGAAACGGUGCGUGGGGGACCGCGGAAUCUGUGCUGCACGCUGGCAGAGCCAUAGUGCAGUGCAGGCGCGGGGGGCGGAUUUGGGGGAGGCAGAAAAGGACACUCCAGAAGAGCAACGUGUGGAGAGACAGCGUGGAUGCGCGCAGGAGCGUGCGGAGGUUGCGCCGGUGACGGGGUGGGGGCAGCGGAGCGAUGUGCGGCUUUGUGUGAGGGGGCCAGGAGGCGACGAAAGGCUCAGGGCAUCAAUUUAGGAGCCCGAAUCGGUAGCGGGGUAGGGUGCGAGGGGCGGCGCGAAGGCAAAGUAGGUGCAUGAGCAGCCGAGGCACCGGAGAUGCGGCUCCGGUGGAGGUGGCGGCAGGGUCACGUCCGCGGUGUGAGCGGGGAAGGGAAAGGCUGGGCCUCCCGCACCGGAGGCGGCGGAAGCCUUUGUUCAGCGGGGCCUCGCCGGUGGCGGAACAAAGGAGCGGCGGGGAGCGGGGCUGGAGCCGGGCGGGGAGCGGGGCUGGAGCCGGGGCUGGCGCUGUCCCUGGUGCUGGCGGCGGCACCGAGUUCCCGCCAUGGCCCGCCGGGACCGGUGGUCCCAGAGCGGGCAGGCACAGCCCCGUAGUACCGAGGAAGAAAAUCCCAGGGCUGGAGCGCAGGACGAGAAGCUGCGGGCAGGGCAGUGGUGCAGAGAGGACUCGGUCUCUGCUUCCACCAUUGCAAGGGACUGAGCCACGGUACCCACAGCAGCCCCAGGUAGGGGCCCCUCCCGAGCAUCCCCCCGGCAAAUCCACCCCUAGCCCCUGUCUGAAGCAGCUGGGGUUGAAGCCGGUUCUGCAAAGGCUCUGUCCCGCAGCCAUCUGCCACGGCCUAAUUCUGCAGUGGCCAUCCUCAAACAGUGGCUGCAGCCAGCAAAGGCUCUCGAGCACUGUAUAAGCCAAACCAGUGGAAGAUCAGUAAUACUCCCAAGAAUAACAACAGCAACAACCGUAUCUACUCAGAGGGCCUUGCACUCUUUCCUCCUGCGUGCGGCAAACAGCAGUAAUUGCAGCAGGAGUUUUGCCAGAUUGCAGAUCAGAGCAGUUGCCCUUCUCUGCAAGGGUAUAGAAGGAACAAUUCCUGCCCUUUCUCCAGCCUCUCCCUCCUCUUGUAAUCAUCCUUGUGUGAGCCAGCAGACGGAAGAAGCACAGAGGCUACUCAAUCCUGUCCCCCCAGCUCAAGUCACUCCCACUACUUUGCUUGCUCCUGGCAUGCUGCAGAGCUGUUCUCAUUCCUUGCUUUGAGAUACCUCUGCACAUACACACUCUACCUACGCAAGCAUAUGCACAUUUAAGUAUCUAUGCAACCUCAGAUUAUCAUCAUUUCAUCAUACUUCUUUGUAUCUCUUUUGUAAGACCCAGAGCUUCACAGGAUCUCAGGGAAGCUACGCAGAGAACAGACAACCAUCAGCCUUCACCUACUCGUGUGGGAACUAGGAUGAACUGUGGCCAAGAUUGCCCCUUACACAGGUAGUGGCUAAGAAAGCUGUCAAGCUCAGGUAAGUCGAGCGAUCUGCAAAGCAAUCCCUCCAGCACAAGCAGCAUUUCCCCACUGCCUGCACCCUGUCUCGGCAGCAGGACAUUCCUCAACGUCUCCACAAAGAGACGCAGAGAAGAACCACCACGAGCGGCACCUCAAGUCCCGAUGCGCAAGCACAAUUGCCACAGAGCAGGAGGCUGGACCAGCCAACCACCACGGUAUGGCACAAGAAUCAUUGUUACACCUCACAUAAACUUGUCUCUGCAUUGCCUAGCUCUGCUGGCAUUGAUAAAUCACCACAAUAAGCAAGGAGUGAGAUAAUAAGAGAUAGUAAUUUACUGUCUAACGUGAUUUAAUUCUCACCACCGGGGCCUGCUUUAACAGCCUGGUAGGUAUGCAGAGUUCAGCACCUCUUCAUGUUAAAUAUUUAUCUGAAGUAGUCUUUAAAAAAAAACCCUCUGCCUGGAGAAGUUGUGCAAUCAGAAAAGAGAGGAGAGAUGCAAAAUGCUGUUACUAUAAAUAUUUGAAAAAGGAAACUUAAGGACAAUUUGAUUAGCAGCAGGAAACUGCCAAAUUAACUCCCUGCUCAGGGUGGAUUUUAAUCUGCUCUAUUAAAUUCUGUUUAUUAGGCAGCGUGGUACAGGUGGAACCUUAAAUAAUAUUAGCUUAAACACACACUUCUCACUUGUAGAAAAGUAUCUGAAGUGGAACCUAAGGUUAACUCCAUCACUGACACAGGCUUUAAGUAAUAAUAACGAAAUAUUCUCUUCACAGCAAGUAACUCAUGUCCAGUUUAACUGAGCUGGCUGAAUGCAGCCAGUAAAGCAAGGAACAGCAUUAAUUCCUCAGCAGCUCCAGCUGAGGACUGCAGAAUUCUUGGCAAACCUCUUUAGAGUGCUUGGGACAUGGGAGGAAUCCAACACACAGAGCUGCUCCCUGCCACUGAGGGUUAUGACAGUGAUGACACAGUGCUCAGAGAUGUUAUUCUGCAUACCCCAGGUAAAAACACCCUGCUCAGUGUUUUCUCAGCCUAAAUUAUCCACCAGACACCAUUCAGAUCUCACCAACUUCGGAUAUAUUUAAAGUGGGUUUGGACCAUUUAAAGAGUUGCAAUUUGAUUGACUUUUCUACAUGCAGAGUAUGAAGCAGGCAGGGAGAGGACAUUCUUUAUUGAGUGCCUAAAAGCCUCUCACACCAUCAGAAUGGUCUCUUUGCAAGCCAAAUUCAGAGCUUUUGGGCCUUAUCUCUUUCUUUAGACUGUAUAUGUUCAGCCUACUAAUAUUUGUGGGUAAAGAGAAGAGCAGCUGUGGCAAGAAAACUGAAAGUAGAACUUCCAGAUUUUUUUUCCUGCCAUGGAUGCUCCCAGGUGAUCUGCCUGGGUGAAGCCCGUGAAAAAUCAAGGACAAAGCUUCCACCACAUUAGCAAAAUCAGGAUAUUUCUUGGACAAAAGAAGAAAAUAGUGAUGUGGCUGCCACUAGCCAAAGCAAAAAUUAGUGAGGUGUUGACCCACUUUAAAGAUUUCCAGUUCCUCAUCUCUCUCCUGGAGAGAUUCUAAACAUCAGUCAGAAGAAAUCCAUUCCUUGAGCAAAAAAAAAAAAAAAUCAGAGGUUUUCCUUCUUUGCAUUUCUUCUGCUCAGUUUUAAAGCAGCUAAAGUGUCAGAUGCUCUACCUUAGUCAAAGUGAUGAAAUCAGCUAAGGGCUUCAGCUCACAAGUAUUUAAACCUCAGAAAUCCUGAGUUUUUAACCUAGAAGGAGGAGGAGUCACUUCAGCCUUGCUCAUCUUCUCAUGCUGUUUUGAUUUUAUACCAACCACAGGUGCCUGCUCAGAUCUUUCUGCAUCGACAUGUUCACAAGUUUGGUCUUAUCAAGCCUGGGGGUUAUUUAAUUUUAUUCUUUUUUUCAACUAGAUGCUGCCCUGUAAAGACCAAGAGCAAGCUUUAAACACACUGGAUGAAGACCUGAAGCAUGAAGGAGGCAACAUCUGUUUGGAGAGGAAUUCCAUCCUUUCCUACAUGAAGUCUUGACUUCAGAUCACACCCUGCAGCCCCCUGCUGAGAGCAAGCCCUGCAGAUGGUUAAGGACCUUCAUGUGCAGGCCAAAGCUCCACGGAGAAGAAGGAAGAUGCUGCAUGGUCUGCUGAAGCAAAAGGCUGCUGAGAAAGCAAAGAGGGUGAAGAACCUCCAGUCUGUGAGGAGUUCUCAAGAACUUGAUUUGUCAGCUCAAAGUGAAGUCAAAGGGAGGGUUGAUGGCUCUUGGCAAGUGCCUGAGGAGAGUCAACAAAAGCAUAGGCAAAGGAGGUGGUGUAAUGACAGGGCAAGGAGAAAUGGGUUUAAACUGGGAGAAGGGAGAUUGGAACUGGAUGUUAGGAAGCUCUUUCCAGUGAGGGUGGUGAGACACUGGCACAGGUUGUCCAGGGAGGUGUUUAAGGUCAGGUUGGACGAGGCCUUGGGCAACCUGUUCUAGUGGGAGGUGUCCCUGCCUAUGGCAGGUGGUUGGAACUGGAUCAGAUUUGAGAUCCCUUCCAACCUAAACCAUUCUAUGAUUCUAUGUGUAGUUGUACUGUGGGAUGGCAGCAUCAAUACUCUCCUGAAUCCCCACCAACCUGAUCUCAGCAGAAGGGGAGCUAAAAUCUAUUGUCAGCCUUUUUAUCAAGACUAGUGGAGUGGGGAGGAACUGAAUUUACUCAGGAGUAACUCAAGGUCUUUACUAGGAAGAUUAGUCUGGUCCUUUUCUUCUAAGGUGUGGAAAUAUUAACACCAGUCAAACAAAGCCACCCCAAAACAACAAGGAAACUGCCCCAAAAUAACAACAAAACCACUCCAUGCAACUAACAAAACCUCCAAACAAUCCAGAAAAGAUUUCUGCCUGGAGCUGGUGAAAUAUUUCAUCUUUGUGAGGCCAAAGUCUUGGACAGUCCUAAAAUAAAUGGUUGUUUUGGGAGAGGAAAGGGGAAGGGGAAGGGAAGGGAAAGGGGCAUGAAAAAGAGAGAUAAAAAGAAGAAAAACAAACAGGGAAAGGGAAAUAAAAGGGAAAUAAAAAGGAAGCCUUUACACCAAAGUGGUUUUAAUCCACUGAAGGUACUUUUUAGCUGGGUAACUUAUCAAGAUGUUUUGCAAUUUGGAUUCAAUGCAUCUCUUUUAUUCCCCCCUCACCAUUUUAUAUCUGCACACACACACAAGUGCUCUGCUGUACAGAAACUGCUCUGCUUCCCUUUGAAGUGUUCCCUCAGCCGUUUGGUGUAGCUUACAUAAUCAGAUAAACUUCAGAUGUGAAAAAAACUCUGAGCUUCCAACCCCCCCCCCAGAAUAAAGGAAUCAGGCUGUGUCA